GGUUGCGAUCAUACCAGCACUAAUGCACCGGAUCCCAUCAGAACUCCGGAGUUAAGCGUGCUUGGGCGAGAGUAGUACUAGGAUGGGUGACCCCCUGGGAAGUCCUCGUGUUGCAACCC
rnacentral:rRNA from 1 species